rnacentral:rRNA from 1 species
AAACUUUCAACAACGGAUCUCUUGGUUCCCGCAUCGAUGAAGAACGCAGCGAAAUGCGAUAAGUAAUGUGAAUUGCAGAAUUCAGUGAAUCAUCGAAUCUUUGAACGCACAUUGCGCCCCUUGGUAUUCCGAGGGGCAUGCCUGUUCGAGCGUCAUUGU